rnacentral:ncRNA from 1 species
CAUAACGUGUUACGAAACGGUGCUUGCUUAAUCGCGAGCUUAAAAGGGAAGCUUGGUGCAAUUCCAACACUGUCCCGCAACUGUAAUUCGGAGCGACUUCUAUAUAUGACCACUGGAAACGGGAAGGUCAGAAGUACGCGUUGAUGAUAAGUCAGGAGACCUGCCAAUUCGAGUACACACCC